AGCCGGAUUUGUAAGCGCCCCCUCGGCAUCGUAAACUGACGCAUGGAGGCACCCUCUAGCAACAGUAUGUGACGAACCGGGCUUUCAACUAACUCCAAUGUAAACCCACCAACAGCGUUAUUUAACGGUCGGAGCAAGUAACGUAGUAUU